GAUGAACGCUGGCGGCGUGCCUAAUACAUGCAAGUCGAACGAAGAUCUAGCUUGCUAGAUCUUAGUGGCGAACGGGUGAGUAAUACAUAAAUAAUCUGCCCAUAUGACUGGGAUAACUAUUGGAAACGAUAGCUAAUACCGGAUAGGUUGAUUGGAGGCAUCUCUGAUUAAUUAAAGUAGGAUUUCUACACAAAUGGAUGAGUUUAUGGCGCAUUAGUUAGUUGGUGGGGUAACGGCCUACCAAGACGAUGAUGCGUAGCCGACCUGAGAGGGUGACCGGCCACGCUGGGACUGAGACACGGCCCAGACUCCUACGGGAGGCAGCAGUAGGGAAUUUUCGGCAAUGGGCGCAAGCCUGACCGAGCAACGCCGCGUGAGUGAUUAAGGCCUUCGGGUUGUAAAGCUCAGUUGUAAGGGAAGAACAUUCAGGAUAGGAAAUGAUCUUGAACUGACGGUACCUUACCAGAAAGCCACGGCUAACUACGUGCCAGCCGCCGCGGUAAAAC
rnacentral:rRNA from 1 species